CAACCUCAACUCAUAUGGGACUACCCACUGAAUUUAAGCAUAUUAAUUAGGGGAGGAAAAGAAACUAACUAGGAUUUUCUUAGUAGCGGCGAGCGAAAAGAAAUCAGUUCAGCACUAAGUCACUUUGUCUAUAUGGCAAAUUUGAGAUGCAGUGUAUGGAGCGUCAAUAUUCUUUUUUUUUAAUAGCUUUGCUUUUAUUUAUUGAAUCUACUCUUAAUUUUGAGACUAACAAUAAGUUGGCGAAUCUUAACAUUAAAAUUUAUCUAACAGUAUACUAAGACUGCAUUCUGGUUGCGCGUCCCUCAGGUCGUUCGCUGGGUGGGUAAGUCAUUGCGACGAAGGCGUGAUUGGUUGCUCAACCUUGUUAGACCUCUCGCCAGGUGGUUAGGGUGCACCGAUUAGAGGUGGAGAACUAUCGAUAGUCUUCGCCAUCGAUAGCGCUUGAUAGUUUUCAUAAACUAUCGACUAUCGGCGAUAGCAAAGAAAAUCUAUCGUCGAUAGUUGUCGAUAGUGCAGAGUACACUCAAAAAAAAUAAUUUAAUUAGUGUUUCUAAUGAUAUUUAUUUAUAUAUAAAGUAUUCAUUUAUAAAGUAUGACAUUGGUUUUCCAAUCUUUAUCUGAAAAGAAUAAAUAAUUAUUAUUCGAAUAAUAUGAUUUUGUUUUUUUAGGCUUACCUUAACUGAUUUCUAUAAAUUUAUAUAUGUUCGGCGUUUUCCUUUAAUUAAAUAUAUAUUUUUAUUAUUAUGUAUUUAUCUUUUUGAAAAAGAAACGCAUGUAUGUAUAUAUGCGUAUGUACUUCACAACAAACCGUAAUAGCAGUAAUGGUAUCUCACGUAGCACUUUUAUUAUUGUCACACAAAAUUUGGCUUUUAACUUUAUAAUACAAAAUUACAAUAUAACAACAAAAUAACAAUAUCUUACCUAUUUGAAGAAAACGAUCCAUUAUGUCUUUAAUAACAAUUUAUAUAACUCUGUAACAAAUUCGCGCAAUUUCCUUUCCCUUACACUUUUAACGUAGACAUGGGAAAACCAAAAUAUCGACAACAAUCGACGAUAGCGAUUGACCGCUAUCGAGAGUGCGCACAGCUAUCGAUUGCGUAUCGAUAGUGGCAAACCAUCGAUAGUCCCGAUAGUNNNNNNNNNNNNNNNNNNNNNNNNNNNNNNNNNNNNNNNNNNNNAACACAAUAUCGACUAAGUGACUUCCUUUGUUCUUGAUGGCAAAAGUGUCCUUUUUCGAGCACUUUCCAUUACUUUCUUGAGCAUAUCGGCCGAUAUAUUGGUCAUUUCGGUGCGAAUACUCUCCUUGAGCUCUGUGAUGGUCUAGGUCUUGCUUAUGUAUACCCGACAAAAAGAAAUCCGGCAGGGUCAAGUCCGGCGAACGCGCCGGCCAGUCGAUAUCGCCCCUUUUUGUCACAACGCAUCCAGGGAAUUUCGCUGCAAAAACUCCAUGGUUUCGUUUGCAGUGUGACAUGGUGCCCCGUCCUGCUGAAACCAGAAAUUUUCUAGACCUUUCAAAAACUAAAUCAAAUGAAUUGUAAAGGAACAAUCUAAAUAAACAUAACACAAUUUCCAAAAAUUUUUGUUUUUUUCCAAAGUUAUUCAAUAUUUUCAUACCGAAGCUCGAGAUGGCGCACCCUGUAUGUUUUCGUUGCGAACGUACCACGGUACCCCGGUGAUUGUUCUCAAGAUCUUUGACUGAACUCUUUGAACUUUGUCAAUGUUGCUAUUGCUGGCGUUCCCCCAUAACUGGGAGCCGUACAUCCAUAUAGGUUUUAGGACCGAGUUGUACAGCAGGACUUUAUAUUCAAGGCUAAGAGAUGACCGAGCGUUGAUAAGCCAAUGAAACACGGACCAAGGAGUCUAACAUAUGUGCAAAUUAUUGGGAUAUAAACCUAAUAGCGUAAUUAACUUGACUAAUAAUGGAAUUAGUUUUUUAACUAUUUAUCGUUAAUUAACACAAUCCCGGGGCGUUCUAUAUAGUUAUGUAUAAUGGUAUUUAUAUUAUUUAUGCCUCUAACUGGAACGUACCUUGAGCAUAUAUGCUGUGACCCGAAAGAUGGUGAACUAUACUUGAUCAGGUUGAAGUCAGGGGAAACCCUGAUGGAAGACCGAAACAGUUCUGACGUGCAAAUCGAUUGUCAGAAUUGAGUGGGUGCAUGGCAUAACGCCCAGUGUCAUAGCGCCCGCGGGCGUUCCGUCACUUUUAGAAAGUGUCAUAUCGCCCGCGGGCGCUAUGUCAUUUUUCUUGUGGGCCUUAUGACACUAUGAGAAGUGCAUUAACGCCCGAACCUAAUAAAAAUGAAAUACCUGGUAUAAAUGGGUGCAUGUAAGUGCGGAUCAGAAGAGAUCCAAGAGCCGGGUACAGAGUCAAUCGACUCAGGAGGGAGCAGCCCGAACCUGAUAGUAAUGAAAUACCUGGUAUAAAUAGCCGCCCAGCAUAAUUUGUCGUGAGAAUCGAGUGCUCAAUAGCGUAAGCGUAAAAUCGCGCGAUUUUUAUGUAAAACAAUUUUUGCUUGCGCUUUUAAUAAAGUAAAUUUAAACACAAAAUUGUGUUAACAUGUCAUUUAUUUCAUUUAAACAUUAUUGAUAAACUUUGAUUUGGCUGCCUACUAUUUGCCUGCAAUAUGGGCAGUAGUGGUGGAGAACUAUCGAUGGCACUAUCGGGACUAUCGAUGGUUUGCCACUAUCGAUACGCAAUCGAUAGCUGUGCGCACUCUCGAUAGUGGUCAAUCGCUAUCGUCGAUUGUUGUCGAUAUUUUGGUUUUCCCAUGUCUACGUUAAAAGUGUAAGGGAAAGGAAAUUGCGCGAAUUUGUUACAGAGUUAUAUAAAUUGUUAUUAAAGACAUAAUGGAUCGUUUUCUUCAAAUAGGUAAGAUAUUGUUAUUUUGUUGUUAUAUUGUAAUUUUGUAUUAUAAAGUUAAAAGCCAAAUUUUGUGUGACAAUAAUAAAAGUGCUACGUGAGAUGCCAUUACUGCUAUUACGGUUUGUUGUGAAGUACAUACGCAUAUAUACAUACAUGCGUUUCUUUUUCAAAAAGAUAAAUACAUAAUAAUAAAAAUAUAUAUUUAAUUAAAGGAAAACGCCGAACAUAUAUAAAUUUAUAGAAAGCAGUUAAGGUAAGCCUAAAAAAACAAAAUCAUAUUAUUCGAAUAAUAAUUAGGCUGCCAAAAAACUCGUUUUGCAAGUUUUAAGAAAUUGAGUGCGUUAUGACACAGGUUGCAAAUUUCAUAAGGCCCACGGGCGCUGUGACAUUUCCGGGUGCGGGCGAUAUGACACUUUUAGAAGUGUCAGAACGCCCGCGGGCGCUAUGACACAAUUGUUUGGGCGUUAUGACAUGCACUCGAAUUGAGUAUAGGGGCGAAAGACCAAUCGAACCAUCUAGUAGCUGGUUCCUUCCGGAGUUUCCCUCAGGAUAGCUGGUGCAUUUUAAUAUUAUAUACAAUAAUCUUAUCUGGUAAAGCGAAUGAUUAGAGGCCUUAGGAUCGAAACGAUCUUAACCUAUUCUCAAACUUUAAAUGGGUAAGAACCUUAACUUUCUUGAUAUGAAGUUUAAGGUUAUGAUAUAAUGUGCCCAGUGGGCCACUUUUGGUAAGCAGAACUGGCGCUGUGGGAUGAACCAAACGUAAUGUUACGGUGCCCAAAUUAACAACUCAUGCAGAUACCAUGAAAGGCGUUGGUUGCUUAAAACAGCAGGACGGUGAUCAUGGAAGUCGAAAUCCGCUAAGGAGUGUGUAACAACUCACCUGCCGAAGCAACUAGCCCUUAAAAUGGAUGGCGCUUAAGUUGUAUACCUAUACAUUACCGCUAAAGUAGAUGAUUUAUAUUACUUGUAAUAUAAAUUUUGAAACUUUAGUGAGUAGGAAGGUACAAUGGUAUGCGUAGAAGUGUUUGGCGUAAGCCUGCAUGGAGCUGCCAUUGGUACAGAUCUUGGUGGUAGUAGCAAAUAAUCGAAUGAGACCUUGGAGGACUGAAGUGGAGAAGGGUUUCGUGUGAACAGUGGUUGAUCACGAGUUAGUCGGUCCUAAGUUCAAGGCGAAAGCCGAAAAUUUUCAAGUAAAAACUAAUGACUAAAUAAAUAUAUAUAUGAGCCAAAAAUAAUAUACUUGAAUAAUUUUGAACGAAAGGGAAUACGGUUCCAAUUCCGUAACCUGUUGAGUAUCCGUUUGUUAUUAAAUAUGGGCCUCGUGCUCAUCCUGGCAACAGGAACGACCAUAAAGAAGCCGUCGAGAGAUAUCGGAAGAGUUUUCUUUUCUGUUUUAUAGCCGUACUACCAUGGAAGUCUUUCGCAGAGAGAUAUGGUAGAUGGGCUAGAAGAGCAUGACAUAUACUGUUGUGUCGAUAUUUUCUCCUCGGACCUUGAAAAUUUAUGGUGGGGACACGCAAACUUCUCAACAGGCCGUACCAA
rnacentral:ncRNA from 1 species